rnacentral:lncRNA from 1 species
UCGUCAGGCUCAAAGCUACAAACAACUUUUUUAUACUCUUUCAAAGCAAGACAUAUUAGAAAAACAAGCAAACAAAGAUUAAGUGUAGUCGAGGUCGAAUAAGGAAAAAAAGAGAGAAAACUAACUCUCGGGGUCAAAGGCUUUGUCUUUACUUUCAUCCUCAACAGGCACCUUGGCCUUUCUGGAGGCUUGAGGGAGGCUAGCCUCGUCUUUGCCUGCAGUUUCCUUCUCUUGAAGCCUCACCCUCAUCACCCUCAGCUUUCCCCAGGGCUGCCCUUGCUACUUCAUCUACAGCAUGGAGUGCAUCCUUAGUACCCCACAAUAAUGGUGGGUUAUAGGGAUCAUUAUCCUCACCUGAC